UCAAUUUCAUACCUUUGAGAACAAUUCAUAUGAAGGUAAUGACGGAUUACGUGGAUUCCCACUUUCAAAAGGUUGUGGUAAUGACGGUCAUGAUUCAGCAUCAGAGAAAACUUAUGCUGAAUCUACGCUUGAUGAAGAAAGCAAUUCUAAAUUUCUGAAUGAUUUUUGGAAGGCCGCUCUUAUGGGGUAUGGAACCGGACUGUGUAUCGGAUUAUCCAUAAUAUAUAUAUAUCUUGAUCUCAACUGGAAAUAUGAAGUGGCUUGAAAUUGUUGAAGAGCUGGGACACAAAAUUAUGAUGAUAAGGAGAAAGAAGCAGCGAAGGCAAAGGAACUACAGAAGAAGAAAUAACCGCUUCUAGAAAAUUUACCAAUGGAGCAAGAUUUGAUUUCAGGAACUUACAGAUGUCAAGGAUAAGAAGACGUUGGCACAGUGGAGUUGGUUUAUUUUGAGAGAUGUCUGCAUCUACAUUUGUUCUUCUUUAGUUUGUAUUAAUAUACUUAAGCUUCAUUAACUUAAUAUAUUUUUCAAGUUCAUAUGCUUAAAUAUGAUUCAUAAUUUCAAACCA